rnacentral:rRNA from 1 species
UGGGGAAUAUUGGACAAUGGGCGAAAGCCUGAUCCAGCCAUGCCGCGUGUGUGAAGAAGGCCUUUUGGUUGUAAAACACUUUAAGUGGGGAGGAAAAGCUUGUGGUUAAUACCCAUAAGCCCUGACGUUACCCACAGAAUAAGCACCGGCUAACUCUGUGCCAGCAGCCGCGGUAAUACAGAGGGUGCAAGCGUUAAUCGGAAUUACUGGGCGUAAAGCGCGCGUAGGUGGUUAUUUAAGUCAGAUGUGAAAGCCCCGGGCUUAACCUGGGAACUGCAUCUGAUACUGGAUAACUAGAGUAGGUGAGAGGGGAGUAGAAUUCCAGGUGUAGCGGUGAAAUGCGUAGAGAUCUGGAGGAAUACCGAUGGCGAAGGCAGCUCCCUGGCAUCAUACUGACACUGAGGUGCGAAAGCGUGGGUAGCAAACAGGAUUAGAUACCCUGGUAGUCCACGCCGUAAACGAUGUCUACCAGUCGUUGGGUCUUUUAAAGACUUAGUGACGCAGUUAACGCAAUAAGUAGACCGCCUGGGGAGUACGGCCGCAAGGUUA